rnacentral:ncRNA from 1 species
UGGAAAUUUUAUUCUGGUUUAAAUUUUGGUUUAUUUUUAAAUUAUAUGUAAGUUAAAGCGUGAUUUAGAGAAGGUUUUAAAUAGAUUUAUUUUACUUUUUCUUUAAUAAUGCCACAGUAAUAAAGAUUGGAUAUUCAAUAACUUGAGAUUCAGUAAUUAUAAAUAGCACUGGCUAAGCUUGUGCCAGCAGCCGCGGUUAGACAGGCAGUGCGAUCAAAAUUCUUCGGUUUGCAGUUAAUGAAUAAGCUUUGAAUUUAUAUGCUUUUUUAUUAGGUGAAAUUUUAAAAUUGUUUUAAGUUUUUUAUUUAACAUGAGGCUGUGAAACUCUUAUAAUAAACUAGGAUUAGAUACCCUAUUAUUGAGAGCGUAAAUACACAGUGCCAGGCUAGUAUCAGCUAUGUUCUUGAAAAUUAAAGGAUUUGGCGGUAUUCUAGUCUAUUCAGAGGAACCUGUCCUAUAAUUGAUGGUCCACGAUUUACCUUACUUACUUUACUUAGUUUACAUAUCGCCGUAGGUUGAAUAUUCUGUAAAGAUAAUAAUGUUCAAAAAUUUUUUUAAAAAAGAAAUCAGGUCAAGAUGUAGCGAAUAGGUAAGAAGAGAUGGGUUACAAUAAGUAUACUUAAACGGAUUUUGUUAUUAAAUUAGCAAAUGAAGGUGGAUUUGAAGGUAAUUUUAACUAAAUUGUUAAGAUGAUUCUAGCCCUGGAGUAUGCACAUAUCGCCCGUCGCUUUCAUUUUAAAAUGAAAUAAGUCGUAACAUAGUAGGUGUACUGGAAAGUGUACCUAGAAUGGC